UAACCCUAAACUCCCGUAUCUCUCUCUCUCUCUCGUUUCUGAACCCGUCACCAUCUCUCGUAUGCCUCCUCGGCGAGGACCUUCAGACCAUAGCAAGGCAGCAACCGGCGACCUUCCGUCUCCCUCUGGUUCUCGUUCGAACCCGCAGAGGAACCGGCGGUCGGUGGUGGUAGGCAGCUCGGGCGAAGACCUCCAGCGAACGGCAGUAGAUCGGAGCAGUAGGUGGUGCUCCCUCCGGCGGACAGUGGCGGUCAGCGACGGCGUCUUCCCUCCUCCGGCACGGUAGCUGGACGGCGGUGGUUGUGAGUGGUGUGGUGACCGGCGGUGUGGCAGUAAGUGUGGUGGUGGUGGGGUUGGCUUGGGGAAACCGGGCAGAAAACAGAGGAGGUUGUUGGACUCUGGAAUAGGUGGCUUGUUUUGAGAGCACGGCGUAGAGUUCGCAUGCCUUAUAAUUGAAUUUGGUAUAGACCUUCUGGUUUUAGAAAUUGAAUUAUAGAAGUGUAGAUAACCUGUAUAUUAGAAUUAAGAAGUUGAGUUGUAAAGAUUAUGGACUAGUUUAUAUGGUUGUUUAAUGUUGUGGAUUUGUUGUUGAAUAGAACCCUGUUAGCCUGUGCGUUUGGGCUUGGUUGAUAGCCCAAGCGUGGCGUGACACCCCAUAGUUUAAGUUCUGAUUUCGCUUCCGCAUUUAUUUUCAGAAUGGUUAGCGAGAAAUAUUGUGUAUUUAUGCU